UCAGCAAUUUUUCACUUCUAUUUAUUCUCUUUUAUAACUAUCCUAAACAGACAACUUUUUUCUUUAUCUCUGCAUAUUUUCUUUACAAAUAUCUGAAACAGAGACCACCUUUUUACUUAUACUAUACGUUCUUGGCUGUUGCAAGACAUUUUUCCCUAUUUUUGAAAUAUUACUCCAUAUUCUGUAAUGCUAAGUUGGAAUGGUGUAUACGGGGAGAUUAAUGUCUUAGGCGGUGGGAUGUGGAGAUGAGGCCUUAUAAAUGCAUGGAUGAUUGAUAUUGAUAUUAUCAGAUCAGAAUGUUAAUUCACAAAGGAGGUAAGUAACUAGAUGGUUAUCCAUUAAUGUGGACGUGUAAACUUGGUACUCAAACCUUCAUAAUUAAGUCCCAAAUAUAUCUAUGAUGACUUUUAAAGUACUAAAGGGAAUUACAUUUUAAACAUAAAUUAUGAAAACAAUUUUUCUUUGGAAGAUAGUUUGGUGGGUGCUUGAAGUGUGGAAACCACAUUUUUUAUAACUAUAUAGAAAGAGAAAAUAAUAAAGUAAGUAAAAAUUAUACUGUGCACCCUACGGUUUUAUGAAAAUACAGGAAGUACCCCCCACAUUUCAUAAAUUAUGGACGGACAUUAGUGAAUGCCCUUUAAAUAGUAAUUUUUAUUUAUUUGCAGAUAUUUUUACCUAGAUUAAACGACCAAGUUGCCCACAAGAUAAACCUUCAGAAAUCCUAAAGAAAACCUGCACGUGAAAUGGACAAGUGUAAUUAAACCUUCAUGAAAAACUUUUAACAAAAACCAAAUUUCAAAUUUCAAUGGACAAAACUCCAACCAACUAAACGUAAAAAUUCUUCAAAGCACAUAUAAACAAACAGAGAAUCAGAGACAACUUUCAACAUUAAAAAUACAAACCUAGAUUCAUUUUCCAAGCAAACAGAAAAAAAAACACAUAAUAUAUUUAUGCAACCUAGAAGCAGAAGGAGCUAUAUUUAUGCAACCAGAGCUGCAAAACAAAGCAGGAAGAUAAGUCCAAUCAUUGCCUGUGUAUAAUAAGGAACAAUUAAAAUAGACCAUCAACAAUGCAGCUCGCCAUAAUAUAUUUAGAGUUUGCCUUUGCUUGUAUUUUCUGUAAACAAAUAACAGAUCAAUCUAGAAGGUCCAAAGAUCUUAUUGAGAAUCAAAGUGAUGAAAAAUCCAGAAAGAGAAAAAAAAACUAAAGGCCUGUUUACUUGAGAAUGUUUUCUGUUUUCCAUCUCUAGUUUUCAUCUGUGUUUCUAAGUUUCCAUUUUUACAGAAAAUUAGAAAAAAGGGUAAAUGCUUUCAUUUAUGUUAAAUAUGAAACUAAUUUUAGACUCUAGAAAACGAGAGAAUAUGUUUAAGAUCAUGUUAUUUUCUACUUGAACUAAAACUGAGAAUAAACUAACAUUGAUUUAUCCUUAUAUUUUAUUAUUUUUUGUCCAUUUUUCAAAACUAUUUAUUGUAUUUAAGUAAAUGAUAACUCUAAAAUUAAAGAAAUAUUAUAAAAUUUGGUGUUAACCUAAGGUUCUUUAGAAUUGAAUCUUUAGAUGAAUUAUUGCCUCUCUCAACCAUAUAUACCCUCACGGAUUGUUAAUGAAGAAAUAACAGAAACUGAACAACAGAAUGAUAAAUUGAAUUAGAAAUAGGAACAAGAAAUCAAACCACCCAACUGAGCACUGGUUUAUCCUGAUUCAGAUUGCCCCUGAGGACAACCCUACAUCUAGCCUUAGAAUCCUCCCGAGAGCAGCCUUACUUUAUUGAAAACAGAUAAGUACAACAAUAUCCGAGUACACCCUCAAUCGCUUACCAUGAUUACAAAGGAUUGUCUCUUCUUUCUGGCCUUUCCUCUCAUAACAAAACAGAAGCAAUACUCUCAUAGAAAAUGAAUUUUGUCUCUCGGCUAACCCGCUGCCUCCUUAUUUAUAGACUAAGAGGGCGGACAUCCCAAUAUAAUUACCGGAAUUAGAUAUUACCAGUUUAACCCCCAAACUUAACUAAAUUACAGUUGGAACCAAAUUAAAACUGCCUAUCUAAACAUUAGCUGAUUAUUACAAUUGCCUUCACUGAUCUUUUAGGAACUGACUUGAGGUAAACUUAUCACAUUUGGUAAUUAAAAUAUAAUGUAAUUAUAGAUAUCAUCAUAUAGAGCAUGUCAUUCAAAAAAUAGUAUUUCUUAACCAAAUAAUAUUAAGACUACCUAGUUGCCACACUAACGAUUGUUGUAGUCAUUCCAUAAUUGGCCUGCAAUGGUUCUCUCUAACAAUGCUUAUUUGUUGUUGUUGAGACAUAUCUGUCAAAAAACCUUCUUGGCCCAUUUGAUGAGGUAUCUCCAAACCUUCUCUUCCAUAAAGUGUAAAUAAAUUGUCAGCUCUAUCUUCUUGCCAAAUAAAAUUAUGAAGUGCACUGUAGAAGAUAAAUAAUUUCUGUUUAUUUUACAGUUGUUGUAAAUUCUUGUUAGAAUACUACUUGUGUGCUAUGGUUAGGAUACUGGUAGAUUGUUUUAAUUCUGUUGUUGCAAUUAGUUUGUUGUAACUUGCUGCAACUUGCAAGUUGUUUGUUAACAAGGAUUAGCUGAAUAUAAAUACUCGGCUAAUUCUUAUUUCUGUCAUUUUUGAGAAAGACAUUAUCAUUCAGAAAAAAUUUCUCUCAUUUUCUUGUGUUUCCUCUCAGUUUUCUUCUGUUUUUUGUCUUCAUUAUUACCUUGAACCUCUUGCUUCAUGGUAUCAGAGCCAUAGACCAAUGUCAAUGGUAGAAAAUCAAGACUAAUGUAGUUCUUAAUCUCUGCAUCGAUCUUGUUCUCUAUCAUCAGCAUUGCAGUCAAACUUUUCUGCAGUUGCAAAAGCUUUCAAUUUCAUUCCUAUCAAACUAGAUAGCAACAAUUACCUCUAUUGGAAGGCACAGAUCUUGGCGACUAUUAGAGCCUUCGAUCUGAUGCCGUUCAUCAACAAAUCCACACCUCUGGUGAAAUACAUUUUAGAUCUAGUUCUACUGAUUCGAAUGCAAAGGUUAUAAAUCCUGAUUAUCUUACUUGGAUUAGAUCAGAUCAACUUCUUCUUGGCUAGCUAUUUUCUACAAUUGAUAAGGAAGUUCUUGCACAAGUGAUUAUCUGUGAAUCAUCUGCUGAGGUGAAUCGAGCAAUAAGAAGGGAAAAUGAAUGACCGAAGCAUAGUUUAGUUUCAAUUCAUGAUGUUUCCUGUGUCUGAAGCAGUUUUACAUGUUAUUUCAUCUAUCGGAUAUUGUAAUUUAUUGGUUGUUGAGAGCAGUAGUGCUCAAUCGUGUUUGUAUGAAAUUACGAUAUCUUUCAGGUUU